UUAUACCCGUGUGAAUAAGCAUAUCAAUAAGCGGAGGAAAAGAAACUAACAAGGAUUCCCCUAGUAACUGCGAGUGAAGCGGGAAAAGCUCAAAUUUAAAAUCUGGUAGUCUUUGGCUGCCCGAGUUGUAAUCUAGAGAAGCGUUAUCCGCGUUGGACCGUGUAUAAGUCUCCUGGAAUGGAGCGUCAUAGAGGGUGAGAAUCCCGUCUUUGACACGGACUACCAGGGCUUUGUGAUGCGCUCUCAAAGAGUCGAGUUGUUUGGGAAUGCAGCUCUAAAUGGGUGGUAAAUUCCAUCUAAAGCUAAAUAUUGGCGAGAGACCGAUAGCGAACAAGUACCGUGAGGGAAAGAUGAAAAGAACUUUGGAAAGAGAGUUAAACAGUACGUGAAAUUGUUGAAAGGGAAACGCUUGAAGUCAGUCGCGUUGACCAGGGAUCAACCUUGCUUUUGCUUGGUGUACUUCCUGAUUAACGGGUCAGCAUCAAUUUUGACCAGUGGAAAAAGUUCGAGGGAAUGUGGCAUCUUCGGAUGUGUUAUAGCCCUUGGUCGUAUACAUUGGUUGGGAUUGAGGAACUCAGCACGCCGCAAGGCCGGGUUUUAACCACGUUCGUGCUUAGGAUGCUGGCAUAAUGGCUUUAAUCGACCCGUCUUGAAACACGGACCAAGGAGUCUAACAUGCCUGCGAGUGUUUGGGUGGAAAACCCAAGCGCGUAAUGAAAGUGAAAGUUGGGAUCUCUGUCGUGGGGAGCACCGACGCCCGGACCAGACCUUCUGUGACGGAUCCGCGGUAGAGCAUGUAUGUUGGGACCCGAAAGAUGGUGAACUAUGCCUGAAUAGGGUGAAGCCAGAGGAAACUCUGGUGGAGGCUCGUAGCGAUUCUGACGUGCAAAUCGAUCGUCGCGUCUGGCCC
rnacentral:rRNA from 1 species